rnacentral:rRNA from 1 species
ACCAGACUCCUACGGGAGGCAGCAGUGGGGGAUAUUGCACAAUGGGGGAAACCCUGAUGCAGCGACGCCGCGUGGGUGAAGAAGCGCCUCGGCGCGUAAAGCCCUGUCAGCAGGGAAGAAAAUGACGGUACCUGAAGAAGAAGCCCCGGCUAACUACGUGCCAGCAGCCGCGGUAAUACGUAGGGAGCAAGCGUUAUCCGGAUUUACUGGGUGUAAAGGGCGUGUAGGCGGGCCUGCAAGUCAGAAGUGAAAUCUGGGGGCUUAACCCCCAAACUGCUUUUGAAACUGUGGGUCUUGAGUGAUGGAGAGGCAGGCGGAAUUCCCAGUGUAGCGGUGAAAUGCGUAGAUAUUGGGAGGAACACCAGUGGCGAAGGCGGCCUGCUGGACAUUAACUGACGCUGAGGCGCGAAAGCGUGGGUAGCGAACGGGAUUAGAUACCCCUGUAC